UACGGGGGGAGCAAGCGUUGUUCGGAUUUACUGGGCGUAAAGGGCGCGUAGGCGGCCAGCGCAAGUCGGUUGUGAAAUCUCCGGGCUUAACUCGGAAAGGUCAACUGAUACUGCGCGGCUAGAGUGCAGAAGGGGCAACUGGAAUUCUCGGUGUAGCGGUGAAAUGCGUAGAUAUCGAGAGGAACACCUGCGGCGAAAGCGGGUUGCUGGGCUGACACUGACGCUGAGUGCGCGAAAGCCAGGGGAGCGAACGGG
rnacentral:rRNA from 1 species